rnacentral:rRNA from 1 species
UAGCUGGUUCUCCCCGAAAGCUAUUUAGGUAGCGCCUCGUGAAUUCAUCUCCGGGGGUAGAGCACUGUUUCGGCUAGGGGGCCAUCCCGGCUUACCAACCCGAUGCAAACUGCGAAUACCGGAGAAUGUUAUCACGGGAGACACACGGCGGGUGCUAACGUCCGUCGUGAAGAGGGAAACAACCCAGACCGCCAGCUAAGGUCCCAAAGUCAUGGUUAAGUGGGAAACGAUGUGGGAAGGCCCAGACAGCCAGGAUGUUGGCUUAGAAGCAGCCAUCAUUUAAAGAAAGCGUAAUAGCUCACUGGUCGAGUCGGCCUGCGCGGAAGAUGUAACGGGGCUAAACCAUGCACCGAAGCUGCGGCAGCGACGCUGAUGCGUUGUUGGGUAGGGGAGCGUUCUGUAAGCCUGCGAAGGUGACCUGUGAGGGUUGCUGGAGGUAUCAGAAGUGCGAAUGCUGACAUAAGUAACGAUAAAGCGGGUGAAAAGCCCGCUCGCCGGAAGACCAAGGGUUCCUGUCCAACGUUAAUCGGGGCAGGGUGAGUCGACCCCUAAGGCGAGGCCGAAAGGCGUAGUCGAUGGGAAACGGGUUAAUAUUCCCGUACUUGGUGUUACUGCGAAGGGGGGACGGAGAAGGCUAUGUUGGCCGGGCGACGGUUGUCCCGGUUUAAGCGUGUAGGUGUGUGUUCCAGGUAAAUCCGGUUCACUUUAACACUGAGGCGUGAUGACGAGGCACUACGGUGCUGAAGCAACAAAUGCCCUGCUUCCAGGAAAAGCCUCUAAGCAUCAGGUAACAUCAAAUCGUACCCCAAACCGACACAGGUGGUCAGGUAGAGAAUACCAAGGCGCUUGAGAGAACUCGGGUGAAGGAACUAGGCAAAAUGGUGCCGUAACUUCGGGAGAAGGCACGCUGACACGUAGGUGAAGUGAUUUACUCACGGAGCUGAAGUCAGUCGAAGAUACCAGCUGGCUGCAACUGUUUAUUAAAAACACAGCACUGUGCAAACACGAAAGUGGACGUAUACGGUGUGACGCCUGCCCGGUGCCGGAAGGUUAAUUGAUGGGGUCAGCGCAAGCGAAGCUCCUGAUCGAAGCCCCGGUAAACGGCGGCCGUAACUAUAACGGUCCUAAGGUAGCGAAAUUCCUUGUCGGGUAAGUUCCGACCUGCACGAAUGGCGUAAUGAUGGCCAGGCUGUCUCCACCCGAGACUCAGUGAAAUUGAACUCGCUGUGAAGAUGCA